rnacentral:rRNA from 1 species
UACGAAGGGGCUAGCGUUGCUCGGAAUCACUGGGCGUAAAGGGUGCGUAGGCGGGUCUUUAAGUCAGGGGUGAAAUCCUGGAGCUCAACUCCAGAACUGCCUUCGAUACUGAAGAGCUUGAGUCCGGGAGAGGUGAGCGGAACUGCGAGUGUAGAGGUGAAAUUCGUAGAUAUUCGCAAGAACACCAGUGGCGAAGGCGGCUCACUGGCCCGGUACUGA